ensembl:lncRNA
GGGGCCGCCGGAGUGUGUGGCUCAGGAGUGUGGUCAGUAGCGUCUCGACUGUGGAGAAGGAAAGGCUCGGUGUCGCAAAGGCUACAGGUUCUGGAGUUAUGGACAGAGGAACUUCUGGAUCCCUCUUUUCCUGCCAUUCCUUCUCUAGAAGAGUACAGAAGCUUGUACUUAAACCAACUCACCUCCCAGAGCAACAGCCUGGUUUUCAGUUAUUAAAAGUCACACUGACCUAUAGGAGCCACCAGGUCCUUGUGCUGCAGGGACAUGCCAAACUCCUGAGGGCAGGAGGUGGUGAGCUGAAGAAGUCUUCUUCAGAGGUGGCAGCAAUUCCCUCAGCAGAAGAGGACUGGCCUGGUCAGCAGGCAUCCUCAAGCCACAGCAGCAGCUCCUGGUCACUGCCCAACUGGCCAGCACAAGGGUAAAGUUGCAAGUUGCACCACUCAUGCAAGGCUCAGCAGGGGGCACCCUGUGGGAAGAUGUGACUAACGUGUUUGAAGGGAAGGCUGUAUCUUGGAAUGCUGAUGAGUCCCAGGGAGAGAGUUUAGAGGAUGGAGUGGUGCCCGGCCACCUGACAGCAGAAUGGCAGGAACUGUUAAACUUCAAGGACACACCUGUGGACUUCACCCAGGAGGAGUGGGGGCUCCUGACCCCUGCUCACUGGAAUCUAUGCCAGGAGGAGAUGCUGGAGAACUACUAGAACCUGAUGUCACUGGCAGGAUAUCAACUUUCCAAGGCUAAUGAGAUUCCCCUGUUGGAGAAAGGAGAACCACGAGUGAGAGAGAAGUCCUAGAAGAUCCCAGAACAGACGUGAGAAGUAAAACAGAAACCAGGAAGUCAAUUGCAAAGAAUGACAUAUCCCAGAAACACUUAUAUCAUGGCAUCCAGGAACACUUAUAUCAUGGCAUUAUGAUGGAAAGAGGAGAGUGAACGUCUAUGAGUGAGAUCACUGUGGAAAAGCUUACAGGCAUGAUUCAUUCUUGAAGAAACACCAAAGACAUCACUGAAUAGAAACCUUAUGAAUGUAAUGAAUGUGGGAAAUUCUUCAGCUAUAAAUCAUCACUUAGCCAAAACCAUGAAAUACAUGGGAGGAAUGCAUUUCAAAAUAAUGAGUAAAAAAUGAUACUUGAUGUGACAACCAAGGCCAAGUCCUAUUCAAUGAUUUUAAAGCUUUAAAACUUCAGGAUUCAAAUAAGUUUGAGAAAUUGAUAUGAUGGCAAUUUUUAAUAUUAUUCACUGUGCAAAUAAACACUACAUUCAUAAAUUUCUAAUGACCCCUAUCUACAAAAUACUUAAGAAUAAAAACUGGUCCUUCAAAUUAAAUUAAUGCAGCAUUAUGGGAAAUUCACCCAGUAAUGUACCUAUUAGUAUUAUUACUGCUUUAUUAAUA